CCCCCCCCCCCCCCCUGAAAAGAUAAGCGUGGGAAAACCUCUCUCUCGCUCUCUUCUCUGUCACAUUCACUUGAGGUCAUUCACUCGGCCCAUAAAUGGCUUUGUUUUUGUUUACAUUAGCUCAGAGGCGGCUUCAUAAGUCAUGAAUGAACUGACUAGUAUCUCUUCAGACUUUCUAUCAAUUGCUUUGGUGUCUCGAAGUCGACGGGUGUAUAUGUCAUUUUGAGACAGAGAAUUUAUUUUACUCCAAUAUAAAGUAAAAGACGAAGAAAUUUGAGUACUGCAAUUUUUGUAAAAAUAAGAAAAUGCAAUAUUGUUUUUAAUAUAAGGAAAAUAAUUACAGCUUUAAAUACAUGACUUGGUCUAGCUCGAUAAAAAUCCAAACAACUAUGAUCAUAUACAUUUUUUUUCCUUCGUAACAUUGGAUAACAAAUUUCACAAAUUCCAACAUACUAUAAAUAUUGAUUAUUUAGUGCAAGGGUAAAUAUGACAAUGACUCGGAACAUAAUACAGGGAUAACAAUUCAUCAAAUUACUCUUAAUACUUGUAAACGUUUUUUUUUUUUUUUUUUUUUCUUCAGGGGGGCGGGGUUAAAUUUUCCCUCGUGUCGCGCCACGCCUUUUUAAUUUCUUGGCGAGAGGCCUGAUUAUGCAUAGAAUAAAAAAAAAUCAGCAAAAGGGAAAAGUAAAACAGGGGGGCAAAGUUACAUAUCUACAUCUUCACUUGUAAGGUAGACUACAUGCAUGCAAUGUAAAUCCUUAUUUUUAUUUCUAUAUUUAUUUUGUAAAAACACUGAAUUUUCUGCUGUGACUUUAGAUAAAACUCAGACUUCACAGAGCUGCCAAGCAGAACGUUUUUAACGUAUUUAUACGUGUUUUUUUAAGGGAAAAUACGUAUUUGUUUUGCUGUGCUAAAAUUGUAAGUUCUGAGUAUGGCUAUGCGAACGUGGCUACAGGUUGACUGUGAGAACGAGCGUAUGCAUAGUAUGCAUACACACAACACAGGGGAUGUACACCACUCAAAGACGUGCGCAUUACCCCAGGCCAUGCAUACACACAUGCAUCCGAUCGUGAUAUCAAACCAGCAUCCACAACACACGCAAAUUACAUAUCAGUGCACUGCACUACACACAGCGUCACUCACUAGUACAAGAAAAUCCCGAUGU